UUAAUACGACCCACUAUAGGGCGAAUUGGGCCCGACGUCGCAUGCUCCCGGCCGCCAUGGCCGCGGGAUUCCUACGGGAGGCAGCAGUGGGGAAUAUUGCACAAUGGGCGCAAGCCUGAUGCAGCAACGCCGCGUGAGGGAUGACGGCCUUCGGGUUGUAAACCUCUUUUAGUAGGGAAGAAGCGAAAGUGACGGUACCUGCAGAAAAAGCACCGGCUAACUACGUGCCAGCAGCCGCGGUAAUAAUCACUAGUGCGGCCGCCUGCAGGUCGACCAUAUGGGAGAGCUCCCAACGCGUUGGAUGCAUAGCUUGAGUAUUCUAUAGUGCCACCUAAAUA
rnacentral:rRNA from 1 species